AAGUCGUAACAAGGUUUCCGUAGGUGAACCUGCGGAAGGAUCAUUACUCUUAGCUUAUUUCAAGUACUCGUACUGGAAUAUUGCUAUACUCUAAACACCAAACUGUGCUCUUUCUUUUUCAACCCAUUCUCAGCUCCUUCACAGGACUGGACCCUUUCUUAUCAAUACAACUGACUCAAUUGUGCGUUGGAUCAGAUGCUAUUCGUAGCUCCCUGUCUCCACUCACAUCUGUACUGUUUGCAUACACUUGAUUGUGUAUUCAGGCUGUACUUGUUGAACCACAGAAUGUGAUUGUGACUGCGUCCCUUCGUGUUCUCAGUCCAGUUCAUUCACGUGAAAACAACUCCGAACAAUGGAUAUCUCGGCUCUC
rnacentral:misc_RNA from 1 species